rnacentral:rRNA from 1 species
CCUACGGGAGGCAGCAGUGAGGAAUAUUGGUCAAUGGACGAGAGUCUGAACCAGCCAAGUAGCGUGAAGGAUGACUGCCCUAUGGGUUGUAAACUUCUUUUAUAUGGGAAUAAAAUGUUCCACGUGUGGGAUUUUGUAUGUACCAUAUGAAUAAGGAUCGGCUAACUCCGUGCCAGCAGCCGCGGUAAUACGGAGGAUCCGAGCGUUAUCCGGAUUUAUUGGGUUUAAAGGGAGCGUAGGUGGAUUGUUAAGUCAGUUGUGAAAGUGUGCGGCUCAACCGUAAAAUUGCAGUUGAAACUGGCAGUCUUGAGUACAGUAGAGGUGGGCGGAAUGCGUGGUGUAGCGGUGAAAUGCUUAGAUAUCACGAAGAACUCCGAUUGCGAAGGCAGUUCACUGGACUGCAACUGACACUGAGGCUCGAAAGUGUGGGUAUCAAACAGGAUUAGAUACCCGGGUAGUC